rnacentral:rRNA from 1 species
UAGUAUCAGCGUGUCAGCAGCCGCGGUAAUACGAAGGGUGCAAGCGUUACUCGGAAUCACUGGGCGUAAAGCGUGCGUAGGCGGUUCGUUAAGUCUGCUGUGAAAGCCCUGGGCUCAACCUGGGAACUGCAGUGGAUACUGGCGGGCUAGAGUGUGAUAGUAGGAUGGUGGAAUUCCCGGUGUAGCGGUGAAAUGCGUAGAGAUCGGGAGAACACCAGUGGCGAAGGCGGCCAUCUGGAUCAACACUGACGCUGAGGCACGAAAGCGUGGGGAGCAAACAGGAUUAGAUACCCUGGUAGUCCACGCCCUAAACGAUGCGAACUGGAUCGUUGGGAGCAACUUGGCUCUCAGUAUCGAAGCUAACGCGGUUAAGUUCGCCGCCU